rnacentral:lncRNA from 1 species
UAAAAUUCGUAGCCACCAUCAACCUCAACCAUCCAUCGUUGUGAUCAUCGCCACCACCACCACCAACAGCAACUCAUUGAGAUCGUCAUUAAAUGUUACGGUCAGAUCAACAACACGAGCCAAUCACCCCCUCCGCCGCCACUAACACCAUCGCCACCAAAUUGUAAGACCACCGAUCAGACCACCGCCAACACCAGUGCAUUGAACUUGUCGUAACAGAUGAAGAAUCGUUAUUCUCAUAAUUAAGAUUGGCUGAAUGAAUCUGAAUCAGAGGCAUCAUUAGACGAAGCAGCUUCCAUUAAAUGAAGUUCAGAUUUUUAAACAAAUUCCAGUCACUUAUCAAAAUCAAGUAAAAAAAAGAAUACAAAUUAAAAAAUAUAUAUAUUGUAUGUUAUGAGCAGCAAGAGAUUUGGUUGUUAUUUCUAGCAUUUCGAACGACCACAUAGUGGCUUUCUCAGUUCUUGCAGAAGAGAAGAAAUAGAAGAGAAGGAGAAGGAGAAUAAAAGAAACAAAAAGGAAGU